UGGGGAAUAUUGGACAAUGGGCGAAAGCCUGAUCCAGCCAUGUCGCAUGAGUGAAGAAGGCCUUUGGGUUGUAAAACUCUUUUAGUGAGGAAGAUAAUGACGGUACUCACAGAAGAAGUCCUGGCUAACUCCGUGCCAGCAGCCGCGGUAAUACGGAGAGGGCUAGCGUUAUUCGGAAUUAUUGGGCGUAAAGGGCGCGUAGGCUGAUUAAUAAGUUAAAAGUGAAAUCCCGAGGCUUAACCUUGGAAUUGCUUUUAAAACUAUUAAUCUAGAGAUUGAAAGAGGAUAGAGGAAUUCCUGAUGUAGAGGUAAAAUUCGUAAAUAUUAGGAGGAACACCAGUGGCGAAGGCGUCUAUCUGGUUCAAAUCUGACGCUGAGGCGCGAAGGCGUGGGGAGCAAACAGG
rnacentral:rRNA from 1 species